rnacentral:rRNA from 1 species
UGCAAAGAACUUUGAAGAGAGAGUUCAAGAGGGCGUGAAACCGCUGAGAUUGAAACGGAUAGAGUUGACGGAACUCGGCUGCAUUCAUUCGGUCGGCCUAGCGGCCCGAUGGGAUUGGCUUCCUCGAUGAGGGCAGUACUGUCGGUAGCUGUUGGGUGCUUGAUCGGUGUAUUUGUGGCCGGUAUGUGCCGAGAGCUUUGUGGUCGCAUGUUGACGAGUGUGUAGUGGACCACUCCUUCCGGGCGUGGAACCCUUCGUGCUUUGAGGCAUGUUGGCCAUGAGGUUUGAACGUGAGCGUCUCCGCUAUGGUGCAUCGGCUUUAUCGGGCUAUUGUGAUUAUGGAAAGUCGCGUGCGACCUUGUGUAGUUGGCAGUGGCGUGGUAGGGUGCGGAUGCGUCGAGGCGUAUAUCUCGGUGUGAACGUUGACCACCUAUCCGACCCGUCUUGAAACACGGACCAAGGAGUCCAGCAUAUGCGCGAGUCGUUGGGUGAUAAACCUAAAGGCGUAAUGAAAGUGAAAUUCGUCUCGAUGCGAACGAUAUGGGAUCCGUGAUGCUUACGGGCAGCGCGGCGCACCAUAGCCCCGUCCCCGUUGCUUGCAAUAGGGCGGAGGUAGAGCGCAUACGCUGGGACCCGAAAGAUGGUGAACUAUGCCUGAGCAGGAUGAAGCCAGAGGAAACUCUGGUGGAAGUCCGAAGCGGUUCUGACGUGCAAAUCGAUCGUCUGACUGGGUAUAGGG